GAUGAACGCUGGCGGCGUGCCUAAUACAUGCAAGUCGAGCGAACAGACGAGGAGCUUGCUCCUCUGACGUUAGCGGCGGACGGGUGAGUAACACGUGGAUAACCUACCUAUAAGACUUGGAUAACUUCGGGAAACCGGAGCUAAUACCGGAUAAUAUAUUGAACCGCAUGGUUCAAUAGUUAAAGACGGUUUUGCUGUCACUUAUAGAUGGAUCCGCGCCGCAUUAGCUAGUUGGUAAGGUAACGGCUUACCAAGGCAACGAUGCGUAGCCGACCUGAGAGGGUGAGAGGCAACACUGGAACUGAGACACGGACAAGAGUACUACGGGAGGCAGCAGUAGGGAAUAUUACGCAAUGGGAGAAAGCAUGACGGAGCAACGCAGCGUGAGUGAUGAAGGUCUUCGGAUCGUAAAAAUCUGUUAUGAGGGAAGAACAAAUGUGUAAGUAACUAUGCACGUCUUGACGGUAACUAAUCAGAAAGCAACGGCUAACUACGUG
rnacentral:rRNA from 1 species